rnacentral:rRNA from 1 species
UACGUAGGGCGCAAGCGUUAUCCGGAAUUAUUGGGCGUAAAGAGCUCGUAGGCGGUUUGUCGCGUCUGCCGUGAAAGUCCGGGGCUCAACUCCGGAUCUGCGGUGGGUACGGGCAGACUAGAGUGAUGUAGGGGAGACUGGAAUUCCUGGUGUAGCGGUGAAAUGCGCAGAUAUCAGGAGGAACACCGAUGGCGAAGGCAGGGUCUCUGGGCAUUAACUGACGCUGAGGAGCGAAAGCAUGGGGGAGCGAACAGGA